rnacentral:rRNA from 1 species
CAGUCGCCGCGGGAAUACGAAGGGUGCAAGCGUUAAUCGGAAUUACUGGGCGUAAAGCGUGCGUAGGCGGUUUGUUAAGUCUGUUGUGAAAUCCCCGGGCUCAACCUGGGAAUGGCAGUGGAUACUGGCUCGCUAGAGUGUGUCAGAGGAUGGUGGAAUUCCCGGUGUAGCGGUGAAAUGCGUAGAGAUCGGGAGGAACAUCAGUGGCGAAGGCGGCCAUCUGGGACAACACUGACGCUGAGGCACGAAAGCGUGGGGAGCAAACAGGAUUAGAUACCCCCGUAGUCCCUGUCUCUUAUAA